rnacentral:tRNA from 1 species
GUACUUAUAGUUUAAUGAAAAACUUUGAAUUGUGGAGUCAAGAAUGAGAGAGUUUUCUUUAAGUAUA